GCUAUUAUGUAUCCUUUCUUAGAGCAAAAUCAUACUCUAACUACAAGAAAUGGACAACAGUGAAAUAUCUAAUACCAUGCAGUCCAUCUGGCAGCAUUACAUUUUUGUCAAAUGGAUGGGGAGGAAGGGCCUCUGAUGUGCAUAUUGUUCGACAGUCAGGAUUCCUGUCCUCAGUGUACCAUUCUCCAGGUGAUCAGAUAUUAGCAGACAGGGGGUUUACACUCCAGGAUGACUUUUCCCUCCUCGGUGUCGAGCUGCUAACACCGUCAUUCACAAAAGGAAGGAAGCAGUUACCUGGGAGAGAGGUGGAAAUGUCUCGUAGGAAGUCAAACAUCCGGAUUCAUAUUGAGCGGGUGAUUGGUGUGCUGAAAGGUCGCUCUCACAUCCUUGACGGUCCACUCCCUCGCUGUCUGGUUCAGUCUGCACGGGACAAAAACCAAGGGCAAGCAACAGUUGACAAACUUGUAAAUGUUUGUGCAGCACUUGUAAACAUGGCACAAAGUAUUAUUAAAUAAAUACUAAAAUA